rnacentral:lncRNA from 1 species
CUUUUUAACUUUUAUGUUGUUUUAAAAUAUCAAUUUGACUUGAAUUUGGGAUCCCGCUAACAUGUUUAACCCCGCCACAUUCAAAAUGUAUGUGCCUGUCCCAAGUCAGGAGCCUGUAAUUCAGUGGUUGUCGUUUGUUUAUGUGUUACAUUUUUGUUUUUCGUUCAAUUUUUGUGCAUAAAUUAGGCCGUUAGUUUUCUUGUUUGAAUUGUUUUACAUUGUCAUUUCGGGGCCUUUUAUAUCUGACUAUGCGGUAUGGGCUUUGCUCAUUGUUGAAGGCCGUACGAUGACCUAUAGUUGAUAAUUUCUGUGUUAUGUUGGUCUCUUGUGGAGAGUUGUCUCAUUGACAAUCAUACCAC